GUCUCUGUGGUGCAAUGGGUUAGCACAUUUGGCUGUUAACGGAAAGGUUGGUGGUUUGAGCCCACCCAGGGGUG
rnacentral:tRNA from 1 species